GCGCGCGGGCGGUGGAGCGGGGCCCCGGCUUUCCCCGCCCCUCCUGCCGCCAUCUUUGGAAGGUCAAGCGAGUCGUCGCCGUCCCGCCGCGUCCCUGUCUCGUCCCGCCGCGUUCCCGCCGCCUCCCCGUGCUUCCCCGCCGUCUCCACUCUGACACGAUCCGCCCCCGUCCCGGACCCCCUCCGCUGCAGGGAAAUGCAGGAGAACGCGAAAGCAUCGGGGCAGAGCAGCCGCUGGAGGUGCCCGAGCCGUCUCCCCCUUGCCCGCAGGGCCGGAGUUGCCCACCGCCGGGAGCUGACAGGUCCGUGCUGGAGAGUGGGAGAAGGGUCCCUGCUGGCUGCCGUGUCCUGGGUGGGCACAGAGCUCUGACCUUGGCCAGAUGGGCUGUUCGGUUUCUUUCUCACAGGUUUCCGGGUGUUUUGAUCCUGAC